UACAGAGGUCUCAAGCGUUGUUCGGAUUCAUUGGGCGUAAAGGGUGCGUAGGCGGCGCGGUAAGUCGGGUGUGAAUCUCGGGGCUUAACUCCGAAACUGCAUUCGAUACUGCCGUGCUUGAGGACUGGAGAGGAGACUGGAAUUUACGGUGUAGCGGUGAAAUGCGUAGAUAUCGUAAGGAAGACCAGUGGCGAAGGCGGGUCUC
rnacentral:rRNA from 1 species